CUAACACAUGCAAGUCGAACGGUAACGAAAAGAGCAAUCUCUUCGGAGAGGGUUUUUAGGCGACGAGUGGCGGACGGGUGAGUAAUGCGCAGGAAUCUGCCCAGUAGCGUGGAAUAGCCCGGGGAAACCCGGAUUAAUACCGCAUGCGUCCUACGGGAGAAAGUUGGGGACCCUUUCAGGGCCUGACGCUAUUGGAUGAGCUUGCGUCUGAUUAGCUUGUUGGUGGGGUAAAGGCUCACCAAGGCUUUGAUCAGUAGCUGGUCUGAGAGGAUGAUCAGCCACACUGGGACUGAGACACGGCCCAGACUCCUACGGGAGGCAGCAGUGGGGAAUACUGGACAAUGGGCGAAAGCCUGAUCCAGCAAUGCCAUGUGUGUGAAGAAGGUCUGCGGAUUGUAAAGCACUGUCAGCAGUGAGGAAAACUUCACCGUGAAUAGCGGUGAAGCUUGACAUUAACUGCAGAGGAAGCACCGGCUAAUUCCGUGCCAGCAGCCGCGGUAAUACGGAAGGUGCAAGCGUUAAUCGGAAUUACUGGGCGUAAAGCGCGCGUAGGCGGCUGUGUAAGUCG
rnacentral:rRNA from 1 species